AAUAGAUACCCCGGUAGCCCACGCCGUAAACGAUGGAUGCUAGCCAUUGGGGGGAAUCGACCCCCUCCGAAGCGAAGCUAACGCGUUAAGCAUCCCGCCUGAGUAGUACGAGCGCAAGCUUAAAACUCAAAGGAAUUGACGGGGACCCGCACAAGCGGUGGAGCGUGUGGUUUAAUUCGAUGGUAAACGAAGAACCUUACCAAGGUUUGACAUCCCGGUAGCCGUUCUCCGAAAGGAGAAUUUCAUUUAGUUGGACCGGUGACAGGUGAUGCAUGGCCGUCGUCAGCUCGUGUCGUGAGAUGUUGGGUUAAGUCCCGCAACGAGCGCAACCCUUAUGAUUUAGUUGGAUUUUUCUAAACAGACUGCCCUGGUAACAGGGAGGAAGGAGGGGAUGAUGUCAGGUCAGUAUUUCCCUUACACCUUGGGCGACACACGCGCUACAAUGGCCGGUACAAUGGGCAGCUAAGCCGCGAGGUGGAGCAAAUCCCAUCAAAGCCGGUCCCAGUUCGGAUUGCAGGCUGAAACCCGCCUGCAUGAAGCCGGAAUCGCUAGUAACC
rnacentral:rRNA from 1 species